UGGAAAUCUAAUAGACUGUGGGGUCCUUAAGAGUAAGAAUUUUCUUUUUCAUUUUGUCUUUGUAUUCCCAGAACCUAGGAAGGUGGGUUGGAAAUAGCAGAUGCUUAAUAAACCUCAGUGAAUUGAAUUAAAAUCCUUUUGCUUAUAAAAGUACACGGUAUAUUGAAAGGGAUACUCUUCUGGAGUGGACUAGGUAGGAAACUUCGCACAUCAUUAAUAUAUCAUAUUGAUAAUAAAAGAACAUGGUUCAUUUAUUUUUGACAGACUUGGUAUAUGUGAUGCUUGACAAUAGAUGGAAUUAGUUUAAACAAAGGCCCAUGUUCCUGCCCUGAAGAACUCACUGGAAGGACAAAGCAGUGCAGAGAAUGUAAAACAAACCUAAUGCAGAGCUUCCUGAGUCAGGAAAUGUAUGGAUACUCCAUCUUCAUGACCUCAGUGCCCAGAGGAGUGAUGGAGACAUGUAAAAGGCCUUAGACGUUAUGAAUUUGGUCAUACCAUUACUGACACAGGUCUAUCCCUAACUUGGAAAUCACCCUAGGGAUGGGGCUUACAAGUAACAACAAGAUCUUUUGAUGGGGAAGAGAGCCCUCCCAACCAGGGGAAUCAGGAAAGGCUUUUACAUAGAAGGCCCCACCAGAGCUGAGAGUUGAAUGGGAUGCUGUGAAUGGUGAAGGUAGGAAUACACCCAUGCAGAUAUAAAUAGGGUAGAUUACUGUGGCUCCUCACACAAAGGAUCAGUUUUUCUCCCUGUCUCUAUGGUAUCUUUCAAUAAAGCAAAGAGAUCAUAACUGAAACCA
rnacentral:lncRNA from 1 species